UACGUAGGGUGCGAGCGUUGUCCGGAAUUACUGGGCGUAAAGAGCUCGUAGGUGGUUUGUCGCGUUGUCCGUGAAAACUCACAGCUCAACUGUGGGCGUGCGGGCGAUACGGGCAGACUGGAGUACUGCAGGGGAGACUGGAAUUCCUGGUGUAGCGGUGGAAUGCGCAGAUAUCAGGAGGAACACCGGUGGCGAAGGCGGGUCUCUGGGCAGUAACUGACGCUGAGGAGCGAAAGCGUGGGGAGCAAACGGG
rnacentral:rRNA from 1 species